AGGACGAACGCUGGCGGCGUGCCUAACACAUGCAAGUGGAGCGACGAACCAGGCUUCGGCCUGGGGCAAAGCCGCGAACGGGUGAGUAACACGUGGGUAACCUGCCCUGAUGAUUGGGACAACCCGAGGAAACUCGGGCUAAUACCGAAUGUGCCCUCUGGUCGUAAGGCCUGUGGGGAAAGGAAGCUUCGGCCUCCGCAUCGGGAUGGGCCCGCGGCCCAUUAGCUAGUUGGUGAGGUAACGGCUCACCAAGGCGACGACGGGUAGCCGGCCUGAGAGGGCGACCGGCCACACUGGGACUGAGACACGGCCCAGACUCCUACGGGAGGCAGCAGUGGGGAAUAUUGCGCAAUGGGCGAAAGCCUGACGCAGCGACGCCGCGUGGGGGAUGAAGGCUUUCGGGUUGUAAACCCUUUCAGUUGGGACGAAGCUUCUCCGGUGAAUAGCCGGAUGGAGUGACGGUACCUUCGACAAGAAGCACCGGCUAACUACGUGCCAGCAGCCGC
rnacentral:rRNA from 1 species